ensembl:misc_RNA Metazoa_SRP Metazoan signal recognition particle RNA
GCCAGGCAUGGUGGCACAUGCCUGUAGUCCCAGCUGCUUGGGAGGCUGAAGUGGGAGGAUCACUUGAGCCCAGGAGAUCAAGACUGCAGUGAGCUGUGAUCACACCACUGCACUCCAGCCUGGGCAACAGAGCGAGAUCCUGUCUCAA